AGAGUUGGGUGACAUUGGUGAUAUUGGCCAAUCACAAUGCCACAAUGCUUCUGUUUCUCUCUCUUUCACAAGAAUUAUGACAUUGUGAUUGGCCAAUAUCACUAAUGUCACCCAACUC
rnacentral:pre_miRNA from 1 species